ensembl:lncRNA
CUAAAUAUGUCAAUUGGGUCAGGCUUGUUACAAGCAUUGUUCAGAUUUUCUAUAUCCUUGCUGAUUUUUGUCUGCUUGUUCUCUCAAUUUCUGAGUGAGCCAAAGAUGGAGAAACUCUAUACAGUAAGCAAAAACAAGACCAGGGGCUGACUGUGGCUCAGAUCAUGGACUCCUUAUUGCCAAAUUCAGACCUAAAUUGAAGAAAGAAGGGGAAACCACUAGACCAUUCAGAUGCUGAGAUGCCCCACCCUCCAUUUGGGAGAAGUUAAUGUUGGGCUGCUGCUAAUAGCAGUAGACCCCAGACCAGUCGGACCUGAAGGUUGAUGAUGCUGACUCCUACUUACCUCAACACCAGCCCAUCAGAAUAAAGUCCAUGAGCUGGUCUCUUUGAAGUUACUACAAAACUUUUCAUUAUCUUCUCCAAGGAAGGACAUACAGUUUCAAGGACAUUAGCCCAAUGUGGUCCCCUUUGCCCAGGAGGAAAGUAAUAAAGCUAUCAUUUUCUACUUCACCC